CUGCGGGGAUGAUCCCGCGAACUCUCUCUUCCUGACCGCACUGGAGAAACUCUGUCAGGCUCUGAGUGGC
rnacentral:snoRNA from 1 species